rnacentral:lncRNA from 1 species
ACACUUUGAAGUGAGUCAAAAGACGAGGAAAGAACCCAAUACAAUGACUGUAUGACUGCCUGCAAAUGCCUUGAAGGGAUACGUAAAUGAUGCGACUGCUAAGUAAGCCUCAAGUUCAUCACAUGAGGCCCAUGAUGGAGGCUGACUGCUAAUGGCCAGCCCACAGGAAAAAGUGGAUUAAAAAAAGACCUGCACAGUGAAAGAAUUCCUCCUUUCAACCAUACCAGUAACCUAGUCAGAAACAUCCACGACUACUGCCAAAUCAAAAGUACUAUAUACUUAUUCUAGAAAGUCCAGACAAUGCAGAUGCCAGCUUGUGUCCCAAUGGAAAGAGUUCUCAUAAAGAUAGCUACCACUUCUCAGACCUCCUACUUAAGCAGCACAGAGAGGAAGAUCCAAUGCUUAGACUUCCUGAUUCGUUCCUGGACCAGCUUACCAGGCCAGUGUCAAUAUGUCACAGUACUCUCAGCUGAACAACAGAAGCAAUAAUCCCGGGCCCAGGAAUGUUGUCAAAGCCAUCAGGAUACUAUUUAUGUAAGAUGCCAUGACUAACAAGCUGAAAGAACUAUCCUGUCCCUCCUCUACAUACAGUCAGAGUAUUUACUCCUGCCUUCUACUGUGGAAACAUUCUGACUCAUCUUCAUGCUCCCAAGGAGAACCCCCACCUCCUAUUCUCACAAUGUGAUAGAAUGUAGAGCAAAUGCUUCGGGAAGCCUUCGCACAAUCAUGACAUGACCAAUCGUCUUCCAGCUCAAAAGAUCAUGUGUGAGCUCUCAACUGCUACUCCAGCAUCAUGCCUGCCUGUCUGCCACUUUGCUCCACCGCCAUAAUCAUGGACUAACCCUUUGAAACUGUAAGCAAGCUUCCAAAUAAAUGCUUUCUUUU